GUAGUAAUUCUAGAGCUAAUACAUGCAAAAGAUCCCGACUGGUGACGGAAGGGAUGUAUUUAUUAGGUACAAAAUCAAUGCUGGCUUCACGGCCAGUUGAAUUGAUGAUUCAUAAUAACUAAACGAAGCGCAGGCCUCGCGUCGGCGCUGAUACAAACGAGUUUCUGCCCCUAUCAACUUUCGAUGGUAGUAUAGGGGACUACCAUGGUCGUAACGGGUAACGGGGAAUUAGGGUUCUAUUCCGGAGAGGGAGCCUGAGAAAUGGCUACCACUUCCAAGGAAGGCAGCAGGCGCGCAAAUUACCCAAUCCUGAUUCGGGGAGGUAGUGACAAGAAAUACCAUUGGCGGACACUUUGUGUACGCUAUUUGGAAUCGAGUACAAUUUUAAACACCUUUAACGAAGGAACAAUUGGAGGGUCAAGUCUGGUGCCAGCAGCCGCGGU
rnacentral:rRNA from 1 species